AACGCACAUUGCGCCCGCCAGUAUUCUGGCGGGCAUGCCUGUUCGAGCGUCAUUUCAACCAUCAAGCGCACCGCUUGUGUUGGGGCCCUGCGGCUGCCGCAGACCCCUAAAUCCAGUGGCGGGCUCGUCGUCGUACCGAGUGCAGUAAACAUCCUCGCUCAGGGCACGCGCCGGGUCUCUUGCCGUGAAACACCCCACAUAUCAAGGUUGACCUCGGAUCAGGUAGGAAUACCCGCUGAACUUAA
rnacentral:misc_RNA from 1 species